AGAGUUUGAUCAUGGCUCAGGAUGAACGCUGGCGGUCUGCUUAACACAUGCAAGUCGAACGGAAUCUUUCGGGAUUUAGUGGCGGACGGGUGAGUAACGCGUGAGAAUCUGCCUUCAGGUUCGGGACAACAGUUGGAAACGGCUGCUAAUACCGGAUGUGCCGAGAGGUGAAAGCUUAAGUGCCUGGAGAUGAGCUCGCGUCUGAUUAGCUAGUAGGAGUGGUAACGGCACCCCUAGGCGACGAUCAGUAGCUGGUCUGAGAGGAUGAUCAGCCACACUGGGACUGAGACACGGCCCAGACUCCUACGGGAGGCAGCAGUGGGGAAUUUUCCGCAAUGGGCGCAAGCCUGACGGAGCAAGACCGCGUGAGGGAAGAAGGUCUGUGGAUUGUAAACCUCUUUUGAUCGGGAAGAAGACAGUGACGGUACCGAUCGAAUCAGCUCGACCCGG
rnacentral:rRNA from 1 species